rnacentral:rRNA from 1 species
UUCCGGUUGAUCCUGCCAGACCUGACUGCUAUCGGAUUGGUACCAAGCCAUGCGAGUCGUUGUAGCAAUACAAGGCGGACGGCUCAGUAACACGUAGUCAAUCUACCUUAUGGACGGGGAUAACCUCGGGAAACUGAGAAUAAUACCCGAUAGAUCAUAAUUCCUGGAAUGGUUUAUGGUCCAAAUGAUUUAUCGCCAUAGGAUGGGACUGCGGCCUAUCAGCUUGUUGGUGAGGUAAUGGCCCACCAAGGCUAUAACAGGUACGGGCUCUGAGAGGAGAAGCCCGGAGAUGGGUACUGAGACACGGACCCAGGCCCUAUGGGGCGCAGCAGGCGAGAAACCUUAGCAAUGUGCGAAAGCACGACUAGGUUAACCCGAGUGAUUUCUGCUGAAGAAAUCUUUUGUCAGUUCUAAAUCUACUGGUGAAUAAGGGGUGGGCAAGUCUGGUGUCAGCCGCCGCGGUAAUAC